rnacentral:sRNA from 1 species
AUGGCGGACCGUGGCGGCGUGGGUGAAGCCCCAGCUGUUGGAGCGUCUCCUGCAUCUGUCCCUGGCCUAAACCCGACGCUAGGCUGGAGGAAGCGACUGCGGGCCGGGCUGGCGGGGACUGGGGCCUCGUUGUGGUUCGUGGCGGGGCUGGGGCUGCUUUACGCUCUGAGGAUCCCUUUGAGGCUGUGUGAGAAUUUGGCAGCGGAUAUUUGAAUGGUGGUACUUCCAUAAGCAUGGCACAUCUUUUAUUGAGCAAGUAUCUGUAAGCCAUUUGCAACCACUGAUGGGAGGAACAGAGAGCAGCAUUUCAGAACCAGGUUCUCCUUCGAGGAACAGAGAAAAUGAAACCAGCAGACAGAAUUUGUCAGAAUGUAAGGUAUGGAGAAACCCUCUAAAUCUUUUCAGAGGAGCAGAAUAUAGGAGAUACACUUGGGUGACUGGUAAAGAGCCACUUACAUACUAUGACAUGAACCUGUCAGCUCAGGACCAUCAGACCUUUUUCACCUGUGACACAGAUUUUUUACGUCCUUCAGACACAGUUAUGCAGAAGGCUUGGAGGGAAAGAAAUCCUCCAGCUCGAAUCAAAGCAGCCUAUCAAGCUUUAGAAUUAAACAAUGAAUAUAAGCCUUCCAAAGUCAGCAGCAAUCUGUUACACAGCAGCACUGUUGAAGACAAGGACUGUUUCAGAAAAAUUCUCUCCAGAAACAGCCUCCAGAAGAGGAUUAAGCACAGCAGAAAUUAAUGCCGUGGAAGCAAUUCAUAGAGCUGUGGAAUUUAAUCCUCAUGUUCCAAAACUUUUAGAAUGAUUCCAUACCCGUUAGAGAAAGGACAUCUAUUUUACCCUUAUCCCAGCUGCACAGAGACGGCUGAUAGAGAGCUAUUACCUACCUUUCAUCAUGUUUCUGUUUACCCAAAAAAGGAGCUUCCUUUGUUCAUCCAUUUCACAGCAGGAUUUUGCUCUUCUACAGCAAUGAUAGCCAUUCUCACUCACCAGUUUCCUGAAAUCAUGGGUAUUUUUGCUAAAGCUGUGCUGGGACUCUGGUGCCCCCAACCCUGGGCAUCCUCAGGCUUUGAGGAGAAUACACAGGAUUUGAAGUCAGAAGACCUAGGUUUGAGUUCUGGCUGAGCCACGCACUGUUCAUGUGACCUUGGACAAAUCACCAAAUUUUUCUGAACAGCAUCUGUAAAGUGACAGUAACCCCUACCUCACAGGGUUGUUGUGAGGAUUACAUAUAUGCUAAAGCAUUUUGCAUAUGAAAAAGCUUCUUAUGAAUAUUGUUAUUCCUAGGGAAACCCCCCUUGGAAGCUGUCAAAAAGGACAACUGUAGAUGAAAUUGUCUUCCUUUUUUCUUCAUUCAGCUUAGCCUUUCUGUUUGGCCAGGGCUACUUACAGGGGCUGUUGGGGUUGAAGUAAAGUCACCGCAUUUUGGCUCCUUUGGUCAAAGAGAAAGAACUCUAAUGUCCAGCUGCUCCAUCGAUAUACUCAUAGAAUGGAAGUGAGCAAAGGAAAAUUUUAAGCCAGGAUAGUUAACCGUUAGGAGGCCAGUGGGAGAAUGCUUGCCUUGCAUUUGCAAAUCCAGAAUGACUAAAACAUCUUAAGUAAAUGAGGAAUAGCCACCGAGAUGCUCAGAGAUAAUAUAAGCCAUGAGUGGGAGGUGGGAAAAUGAGUUCGUCAACGCCCUCUCUUUUCUAUCCCUUUACCUUUGAGGUCAAGGACAGGGCAUAUUACUGACACCCCACUGGCUAUUGCCCUAUACCUGCCAAUCACCCAAAGAAAAUAAUAGCUUCUGAGAAAGCUCAAUUCACUGUAGCAACUGUGAUAUAUUUACCCUAAUAAAGCCACCACUUGGUCUUUUC